rnacentral:rRNA from 1 species
UUAAGCUAAGAAGAGCGUAGGGAGAAUGCCUUGGCAUUAGGAGCCGACGAAGGACGUGAUAAGCUGCGAUAAGCUGCGGGGAUCAGCAAGUAUGAAUUGAUCCGCAGAUUUCCGAAUGGAGCAAUCCGUAUGUGUAUGCACAUACAUCAUAUACUGAAUCAAAUAGGUAUAUGAGGGGAACCGCCUGAACUGAAACAUCUAAGUAGGGCGAGGAAGAGAAAUCAACCGAGAUUCUGUGAGUAGUGGCGAGCGAAAGCGGAAGAGGCUAAACCAUAGGUAGCAAUACUUAUGGGGUUUCGGACAGCAUUUAGUAUUGAUAAUUUCUAGUUGAAACGUGUGGGAAAACGUACCGAAGAGUGUGAGAGUCACGUAAGCGAAAGAGAGAAUCAGCGAGCUGUAUCCAAAGUACCGCGGGACACGUGAAACCCCGUGGGAAGAUGGGGGGACCAUCCUCCAAGCCUAAAUACUACCUAAUGACCGAUAGCGAAUAGUACUGUGAAGGAACGGUGAAAAGAACCCCGGGAGGGGAGUGAAAAAGAACCUGAAACCCUAUGCUUACAAGCACCGAGAGCACGUCAAAGUGUGAUCGGGUACCUUUUGUAGAAUGGUCCGGCGAGUUAUUGUAUGCGGCAAGGUUAAGUGCUUAAGGCACGGAGCCGAAGCGAGAGCAAGUCUGAACAGGGCGAAAAAGUCGUAUGCAAUAGACCCGAAACCGAGUGACCUAUCCAUGUCCAGGCUGAAGUGGAGGUAAAACUCCAUGGAGGGCCGAACACACGUCCGUUGAAAAGGCCGGUGAUGAGGUGUGGAUAGCGGAGAAAUUCCAAUCGAACUCGGAUAUAGCUGGUUCUCUCCGAAAUAGCUUUAGGGCUAGCCUCGUGAAAGAUUACUGGAGGUAAAGCACUGAAUGGGCUAGGGGUCGAAAGAUUACUGAACCCUAUCAAACUAAGAAUGCCAGAUAAUUGAUUCACGGGAGUCAGACAAUGUGAGAUAAGUCUCAUUGUCAAAAGGGAAACAGCCCAGACCCACAGCUAAGGUCCCUAAACAUUGUUAAGUGGAAAAGGAUGUGGGGUUGCAUAAACAACCAGGAUGUUGGCUUAGAAGCAGCCACUCAUUAAAAGAGUGCGUAAUAGCUCACUGGUCGAGUGACCCUGCGCCGAAAAUUCAACGGGGCUAAACAAUGUACCGAAGCUUGGGAUUCUAGAUUUAUCUAGAGUGGUAGGAGAGCGUCGAAUAAGGGGUGAAGUCAGAGCGGAAGCGCUGGUGGACUUUAUUCGAGUGAGAAUGCCGGAAUGAGUAGCGAGAAUUAUGUGAGAAUCAUAAUGGCCGAAAAUCUAAGGUUUCCUGAGGAAGGUUCGUCCGCUCAGGGUAAGCCGGGGGCUAAGGCGAGGCGGAGACGCGUAGCCGAUGCACAUACGGUUGAAAUUCCGUAGCCACCGAAAGAUUUAAGUACAGGGACGCUUUAGAAGUGAUGUAGCCGGGCGAUGGUUGACCCGGUCGUAAGGGAUCGAAAAUGAGUAGAGAAGUCAUCAUGGAAAGAGACAAGAAAAGCUGUAUGAAUAUCUUAGGUGCCCGUACCGCAAACCGACACAGGUAGAUAGGAAGAAGAUUCUAAGGCCAACGGGAGAAGGGUUGUUAAGGAACUCGGCAAGUUGACCCCGUAACUUAGGGAUAAGGGGUGCUCAAGUGAUUGAGCCGCAGAGAAUAGGCCCAGGCGACUGUUUAGCAAAAACACAGGUCUCUGCUAAAUCGAAAGAUGACGUAUAGGGGCUGACACCUGCCCGGUGCCGGAAGGUUAAGAGGAGAUGUGAGAGCAUUGAAUUGAAGCCCCGGUAAACGGCGGCCGUAACUAUAACGGUCCUAAGGUAGCGAAAUUCCUUGUCAGGU